rnacentral:lncRNA from 1 species
GAUUUUGGUUCUGGUUGAAGGGGAUCGGCGAAGGGAUCUCAGUUCAGCCCAACCCUACACACACCUUGGUUAUGGUUAAAGGGGAUCGACGAAGAGAUCUAAGUUUAACCUAAUUGGAAAGGAUUUGAUUUUGGUUCUGGUUGAAGGGGAUCGGCGAAGGGAUCUCAGUUCAGCCCAACCCUACACACACCUUGGUUAUGGUUAAAGGGGAUCGACGAAGAAAUCUCAGUUUAACCUAAUUGGAAAGGAUUUGAUUUUGGUUCUGGUUGAAGGGGAUCGGCGAAGGGAUCUCAGUUCAGCUCAACCACACAAACCUUGGUUAUGGUAAAAGGGGAU